UGCUAAUACCGCAUAAGCGCACAGUAUCGCAUGAUACCGUGUGAAAAACUCCGGUGGUAUGAGAUGGACCCGCGUCUGAUUAGCUAGAUGGCGGGGUAACGGCCCACCAUGGCGACGAUCAGUAGCCGGUCUGAGAGGAUGAACGGCCACAUUGGGACUGAGAUACGGCCCAGACUCCUACGGGAGGCAGCAGUGGGGAAUAUUGGGCAAUGGGGGAAACCCUGACCCAGCAACGCCGCGUGAAGGAAGAAGGCCUUCGGGUUGUAAACUUCUUUUACCAGGGACGAAGAACGUGACGGUACCUGGAGAAAAAGCAACGGCUAACUACGUG
rnacentral:rRNA from 1 species